rnacentral:rRNA from 1 species
GGGGAAUUGUUCGCAAUGGGCGCAAGCCUGACGACGCAACGCCGCGUGGAGGAUGAAGAUCUUCGGGUCGUAAACUCCUGUCGAGUGGGAAGAAACGUUCCGGGGCGAAUAUCCCCGGAAUUUGACGGUACCACUAAAGGAAGCCCCGGCUAACUACGUGCCAGCAGCCGCGGUAAUACGUAGGUGGCAAGCGUUGUCCGGAUUUACUGGGCGUAAAGAGCGCGCAGGCGGCCGAGUAAGUCGAAUGUGAAAUCCCCCGGCUCAACUGGGGAAGGUCAUUCGAUACUGUUCGGCUUGAAGAUAGGAGAGGGAAGCGGAAUUUCCGGUGUAGUGGUGAAAUGCGUAGAUAUCGGAAGGAACACCAGUGGCGAAGGCGGCUUUCUGGCCUAUCCUUGACGCUGAGGCGCGAAAGCUAGGGGAGCGA